GACGAACGCUGGCGGCGUGCUUAACACAUGCAAGUCGAACGGAAAGGCCCUGCUUUUGUGGGGUGCUCGAGUGGCGAACGGGUGAGUAACACGUGAGUAACCUGCCCUUGACUUUGGGAUAACUUCAGGAAACUGGGGCUAAUACCGGAUAGGAGCUCCUGCUGCAUGGUGGGGGUUGGAAAGUUUCGGCGGUUGCGGAUGGACUCGCGGCUUAUCAGCUUGUUGGUGGGGUAGUGGCUUACCAAGGCUUUGACGGGUAGCCGGCCUGAGAGGGUGACCGGCCACAUUGGGACUGAGAUACGGCCCAGACUCCUACGGGAGGCAGCAGUGGGGAAUAUUGCACAAUAGGCGGAAGCCUGAUGCAGCAACGCCGCGUGCGGGAUGACGGCCUUCGGGUUGUAAACCGCUUUCGCCUGUGACGAAGCGUGAGUGACGGUAAUGGGUAAAGAAGCACCGGCUAACUACGUG
rnacentral:rRNA from 1 species